rnacentral:snRNA from 1 species
GGAUGUGAAGGCAAUCUAGCUGCAGCAUCUGUCCCCACACUGGCUGCCAAGGUUGAUUCUGCUGUUUGGACUAGGUGUACCCUUCCUCCUUCAACAGCUCCAUGUGUGUCUCUCCCAAAGCUGCGCACUCACUUGCAACCCCCCCAGUAGAUUUUUGCCUGGAGAGUGGCCCAGCAGAGAAGGACCUGAGAGUGCUGUUGACAGCUGGCUUAACAUGAGCCAGUGUGUGCCCAGGUAGGCAAGAAGGCCAAAAACAUCCUGCCCUGUGUCAGACACAGGGUGGCCAGCAGGACCAG